GUGGCUGUUAUAAUGUGCCCUUUGAACAAAAUAAAAAGCAUGUUUUUUAUGUUUUUGCCAACUCCACUGCUCUCAUUAGUUUAGUGUGAAAUUCUACUGUAACUGUAUCAAUUCAGAGUGCAACAUUAUUAAAAUCCAUCUGUACCUACCAUAAAUGAAGUUGCUUCUUUUCAUGAGCCAGUAAUUUUUUCACGCAUUUUGGCCUAAAGUUGCUAUUGAUGUACGAUUUAAGUCUAGUCUGAAAUCAUAGUGUGUUUGCAUUACAGAGUGAAUGCAAAGCUUGGCAAAACUAUGGUAAAACAUUCUGGAUCAAAUCUUAAAUAGAUGUCAUGUAUUGUAAUGACUGGUUAAAGCUUCCAACCCGCAAAGGAAUGCAUCUUUAAUCAACUGAUGACUAUGCUUAAAGGAUGAUUUUAAUUUGAUCCUCUUCGUUCUGCUCUGUAAUGUAUCUGUUGUUAAUUAAUGAUUGAAGCUAAAUAUAUAUAAUAAAUAUGCUUUGCUUUGCUUGGUGGAUCUUCCCAUUUAGGUUAUCAGAGGGCUUGGUGUUAAAAAUCAACAAGGCGAGACUUAUCCUUCACCCAGUCUUUCCACUCGUACAACACUGUUUAUGUAAUGAGCUAAUGGCCAAAAGUAAGUAGAGAUUCUGUGCUAUGAGAUUUGUUAAAAGAGGGCAAUGCAUUAGUAUUGAUUUUUAUAAAUUGGGAAUACCCCAUGACAAUUCUAGAAAACGUAGACAUCGUUAAAAAAUAUAUUUGGUUCGAUUCUGGCGCUAGAUGGCCGAGGAGAGAAAACACGUUAAAAAAAUUAGGUAACGCAGGUUGCCAUAUCUUUCUUUUGUGAGGCACAAAAAUACAAGUGACAACGUCGCCGUGUAUCGAGCUUUGAAGAGAAGUUACUUUGGGUCGUGCACCGUGUGAAAAUUUCUUUUCCAUGCUGGCUGCAGUCGUUAGGAACAAAAGAAUGUUGUUAAUUUAUGCUUGAAGAUGGAUUUUGUCGGCAAAGGGUUGUCGAUUUACGCGGACAAAGACGGAUGUGCUGUUAAUCCUGAAGGUUUAUAAGUGGUAAGAUUGAAUAAUCAGUUCAGAUAAAGUUCAUAAGCAAUGAAAUAAUGUCAUGUAUUGAAACAUAUCCUUUCUAUUUAUCCCAUUUGAGCAUUCCAAUAAUUUUUUGGAAGGCACAACAACAAUGUGUAAGCAUAGUGGUGUUUCAGUAGGCUGAUCGUGUAGGCUCGGUCUCCUAACCAUUAUGUGGCAUUUGAUGGUGGUUAACAUGUGGUGGUGUGGUUGGUAGUGAGUGAAAUAUUUGGCAUAAUUGACAUAUUUUUGUUUUUUCUUGGGUUAAUCCUAAAAUUAUGUGAGCAUCUUCUACAUGACUAGCGGUCAUUGUUCUUUUAGGGUGAUCAUCAAAUGGGAAUUGUUCAGUAAGGAGUUUCCUGGUAAUAAUGAUACAACAUGAAAUUCUGUAAUGCAUCUUUUGUUAAUUAAUGAUUGAAGCUAUUUAGCUGCUAUUUGGUAGGUUUAAAUAGGCUGUCCAAGUGUUGCAUUCUGAGUGUUGGAAAUAGUGGUGUAUAGGCCAAGUAUUCUUCGGAAUCUCUAUGGAUGUGGAUGAUCCCUGAAAGGAGGUAUAUAUACGAUAUAGGUAAUCCCUAAAAGAACGGUUACUUCAUUUAUAGUUAGUGAACAUGAUGUACUGUGAGACAUGGAAAACCAGAAAGUACGAGUUACUAUUUUAUUCAAUUAAAUUCUUAAUGAUAUCUUUUGUAAAUAAUUUAGCAGACGUCCAAGUGUCAGGAAGAUGUCACGUUCAGCCAACUUCAAGUGUCAGGUGUGGGUAUUGCAAUGUGCCUUGUAUCUUUGAAAGAAACAAAGGAAUAUGUUUAGGACAAGUCCGCUGAUCUCAUUAGUUUAAUUUGUGAAAUAUUGGUGCAAGUGGAUCAAUUUAAAGUGCAACAUUGUUAAAAAUUAAUCUGUGUCUACCAUAAAUGAAGUUGCUUCUCUUUA